CCAGGGAUAUUCACGGCUGCCAUAGACGGAGCGCUUACUGUGUUCCAGACACUGGCACUGUGCUAAGGCCGUGUUGGGAGCAGACCCUUCUUCCUGGCGUCAUUCAUUGGAUAACCAACAUUUCCUGAGUGUAUAUGGCCUGGGAGUCCGGAGGAGUGCUGCUAUGAAGAGAAGCUCUCCCAGUCCUCAAGAAAUGGAUCCCCGAAAAGGGGGAGGAGAAAACAAUGUCUUCACUAAUACGCCUCCAAACAUGGAACAAUCAGCUGUUUCAGGUAGAUUAAGCUAAAAGAGGAAGAGUGGAUGGCUGGCACAGUGGCUCACGCCGGUAAUCCUAGCCGAGGUUUAAGACCAGCCUGAGC
rnacentral:lncRNA from 1 species